AAGACAGCCUUGAGGUCCAGCAUCACCAGGGCUGUGAGGCCUCUACUACUGCUUCUGCUGGGUCAUGAAUCCUGAGGCCGUGAAGCGGGAGCUCCCCAGACCCCGUGGGCGUUGGGGUUUCCCCUGAGCGAGAGGAGAAAUUAAAAGGGAGUAGAUAGAGGCUGAGGCUGCAGCUUUAUGUUCAGUCUCCACCCUCCACCUCCUCUGCUUGCCUUUGCAGAUCUGUGCAUUGCGUGCAUUGCUCCCACUUGAUGGCUCCAUCAUAGGACACUUAGGAGGAGGUGAGACCUAAUUGGAGGAAGUAAGUCACUGGGGAUUGAGUUCCUGAUGUGUUCCAUUCAUCACUGAUUUCUGUAUCUCUCUGUACUUCCUGUCCACCAUUAAGUCAGAAGUCUACCCUAUUACUGUGAUGUUCUGGCCAGACACAUGGGGUCACGCAACUAUGAACUGAGCUCUCUAAAGUGAAGGGUAGAAUGACAUCUUUCCUCCCUUAGGUUGUUUAUCAGAUCCUCUGUCACAGUGAUGAGAAAAGUAGCUAAUAUUCCCUCUAAACAAGAUCAAGGCCUAAGCAUCCUAGAAGUAGAUAUGUCCUGGGAUAGCCUCUUCAUUCUCAAAUGAAGCAUAAAUAAGUGAUGGGUAAAGGAGCAGGGUCAAGCCACCAGCACGCAGUCAACAUAUGUUUUCAUGUGAACAUUUUAGGGGUUUUGUUUUGUUUAAUUGGGAAAGUCUCUGUUCUCAGUAAGGCUUAGUAAUUUCAAAUUAAGACCACUGAAUUUACAUUGAUAGUGUCCAAAAAGCCUCACUAAAUAAGCACACAAGAUGGGCCUCAGGGCAUACAUAAAAAGGCAUAGAAAAACCAUGAGUGGUCUUGAUUGUCCCUUUGACUCACCUGGGCAGAGCCAACCUCAAAAGUGGAUUUACUGCCAUCAGAUUGGCCUAGGGCAUAUCUAUAAACAUCUUGGGUGCUAGUCAGUGUAGGAGUACUCAGCCCACUGCGGGCAGUGCUAUCCCUAGUUAGGUUGCCCUGUGCUAGCUGGAGGUAAACUUGGAGUAAGCAGAAUUUCUCCCAUGGUCUCCACAUAAAGCUCCUGCUUUGGUUUCCCCCAAUGAUGGACUGUAACCUAUAAAAUGAAAUAAACUCUUUCUUCUCC
ensembl:antisense Gm27242 predicted gene 27242